CCUACGGGAGGCAGCAGUGGGGAAUAUUGCACAAUGGGCGAAAGCCUGAUGCAGCAACGCCGCGUGAGCGAUGAAGGCCUUCGGGUCGUAAAGCUCUGUCCUCAAGGAAGAUAAUGACGGUACUUGAGGAGGAAGCACCGGCUAAAUACGUGCCAGCAGCCGCGGUAAUACGUAUGGUGCAAGCGUUAUCCGGAUUUACUGGGUGUAAAGGGAGCGCAGGCGGCACGGCAAGCCUGAUGUGAAAGCCCGCGGCCCAACCGCGGGACUGCAUUGGGAACUACCGGGCUGGAGUGCCGGAGAGGUAGGCGGAAUUCCUAGUGUAGCGGUGAAAUGCGUAGAUAUUAGGAGGAACACCAGUGGCGAAGGCGGCCUACUGGACGGUGACUGACGCUGAGGCUCGAAAGCGUGGGGAGCAAACAGGAUUAGAUACCCGGGUAGUC
rnacentral:rRNA from 1 species